CGGCGAGUGAAGCGGCAACAGCUCAAAUUUGAAAUCUGGCCUCACGGUCCGAGUUGUAAUUUGUAGAGGAUGCUUUUGGCAAGGUACUUUCCGAGUUCCCUGGAACGGGACGCCAUAGAGGGUGAGAGCCCCGUACGGUCAGACCACCGAGCCUCUGUAAAGCUCCUUCGACGAGUCGAGUAGUUUGGGAAUGCUGCUCUAAAUGGGAGGUGUACGUCUUCUAAAGCUAAAUACCGGCCAGAGACCGAUAGCGCACAAGUAGAGUGAUCGAAAGAUGAAAAGCACUUUGAAAAGAGGGUUAAAAAGUACGUGAAAUUGUUGAAAGGGAAGCAUUCAUGACCAGACUUGGGCUUGGUUGAACAUCCGGCGUUCUCGCCGGUGCACUCUGCCAGUCCAGGCCAGCAUCAGUUUGACCCGGGGGACAAAGGCGGCGGGAAUGUGGCUCCCCUCGGGGAGUGUUAUAGCCCGUCGUGUAAUGCCCUGGGUUGGACUGAGGAACGCGCUUCGGCACGGAUGCUGGCGUAAUGGUCAUCAAUGACCCGUCUUGAAACACGGACCAAGGAGUCGUCUUCGUAUGCGAGUGUUCGGGUGUCAAACCCCUACGCGUAAUGAAAGUGAACGUAGGUGAGAGCUUCGGCGCAUCACCGACCGAUCCUGAUGUUCUCGGAUGGAUUUGAGUAAGAGCAUACG
rnacentral:rRNA from 1 species